rnacentral:rRNA from 1 species
CCUACGGGCGGCAGCAGUGGGGAAUAUUGGACAAUGGGGGCAACCCUGAUCCAGCCAUGCCGCGUGUGUGAAGAAGGCCCUCGGGUUGUAAAGCACUUUCAGUGAGGAAGAACGCCUGGUGGUUAAUACCCAUCAGGAAAGACAUCACUCACAGAAGAAGCACCGGCUAACUCCGUGCCAGCAGCCGCGGUAAUACGGAGGGGUGCGAGCGUUAAUCGGAAUUACUGGGCGUAAAGCGCGCGUAGGUGGCUUGAUAAGCCGGUUGUGAAAGCCCCGGGCUCAACCUGGGAACGGCAUCCGGAACUGUCAAGCUAGAGUGCAGGAGAGGAAGGUAGAAUUCCCGGUGUAGCGGUGAAAUGCGUAGAGAUCGGGAGGAAUACCAGUGGCGAAGGCGGCCUUCUGGACUGACACUGACACUGAGGUGCGAAAGCGUGGGUAGCAAACAGGAUUAGAUACCCUAGUAGUC